UACGGAGGGUGCAAGCGUUAAUCGGAAUUACUGGGCGUAAAGCGCACGUAGGUGUUGUCUAAGUCAGCUGUGAAAUCCCCGGGCUCAACCUGGGACUUGCAGUUGAAACUGGUGAGCUAGAGUAGGGUAGAGGGGUGUGGAAUUCCAGGUGUAGCGGUGAAAUGCGUAGAUAUCUGGAGGAACAUCAGUGGCGAAGGCGACACCCUGGACUCAUACUGACACUGAGGUGCGAAAACGUGGGGAGCAAACAGG
rnacentral:rRNA from 1 species